CGUAAGCAACCUGCCCAAAGACCGGGACAACAGUGGGAAACCGCUGCUAAUACCGGAUGUGCCCGUCUUUUCACCUGGAGAGAUGAGUAAAGCGAAGUAAUUCGGCUUUGGGAGGGGCUUGCGGCCUAUCAGCUAGAUGGCGGGGUAGUGGCUCACCAUGGCGACGACGGGUAGCUGGUCUGAGAGGAUGGUCAGCCACACUGGGACUGAGACACGGCCCAG
rnacentral:rRNA from 1 species